CCUACGGGAGGCAGCAGUGGGGAAUAUUGGACAAUGGGGGCAACCCUGAUCCAGCCAUGCCGCGUGUGUGAAGAAGGCCCUCGGGUUGUAAAGCACUUUCAGUGAGGAAGAACGCCUGGUGGUUAAUACCCAUCAGGAAAGACAUCACUCACAGAAGAAGCACCGGCUAACUCCGUGCCAGCAGCCGCGGUAAUACGGAGGGUGCGAGCGUUAAUCGGAAUUACUGGGCGUAAAGCGCGCGUAGGUGGCUUGAUAAGCCGGUUGUGAAAGCCCCGGGCUCAACCUGGAAACGGCAUCCGGAACUGUCAAGCUAGAGUGCAGGAGAGGAAGGUAGAAUUCCCGGUGUAGCGGUGAAAUGCGUAGAGAUCGGGAGGAAUACCAGUGGCGAAGGCGGCCUUCUGGACUGACACUGACACUGAGGUGCGAAAGCGUGGGUAGCAAACAGGAUUAGAUACCCGAGUAGUC
rnacentral:rRNA from 1 species